GGCUCCGUAGCUUAACUGGAUAGAGCACCGCACUACGGAUGCGGAGGUUCGGGGUUCGAAUCCCUGCGGAGUCACUA
rnacentral:tRNA from 1 species